GACGAACGCUGGCGGCGUGCUUAACACAUGCAAGUCGAGCGGUAAGGCCUUUCGGGGUACACGAGCGGCGAACGGGUGAGUAACACGUGGGUGAUCUGCCCUGCACUUCGGGAUAAGCCUGGGAAACUGGGACUAAUACCGGAUAUGACCUCCUAUCGCAUGGUGGGUGGUGGCAAGAUUUAUCGGUGCAGGAUGGGCCCGCGGCCUAUCAGCUUGUUGUUGGGGUAAUGGCCUACCAAGGCGACGACGGGUAGCCGACCUGAGAGGGUGACCGGCCACACUGGGACUGAGACACGGCCCAGACUCCUACGGGAGGCAGCAGUGGGGAAUAUUGCACAAUGGGCGAAAGCCUGAUGCAGCGACGCCGCGUGAGGGAUGACGGCCUUCGGGUUGUAAACCUCUUUCAGCAGGGACGAAGCGCAAGUGACGGUACCUGCAGAAGAAGCACCGGCUAACUACGUG
rnacentral:rRNA from 1 species